rnacentral:rRNA from 1 species
GCAGCAGUGGGGAAUAUCUNUCAAAGGGGCGAAAGCCUGAUGCAGCCAUGCCGCGUGUGUGAAGAAGGCCUUAGGGUUGUAAAGCACUUUCAGUAUGGGAGGAAAGGUUGCGUGUUAAUAGCACGUAGCUGUGACGUUACCUACAGAAGAAGGACCGGCUAACCCCGUGCCAGCAGCCGCGGUAAUACGGAGGGUCCGAGCGUUAAUCGGAAUUACUGGGCGUAAAGCGUACGUAGGUGGUUUGUUAAGUUGGAUGUGAAAGCCCAGGGCUCAACCUUGGAACUGCAUUCAAAACUGGCGAACUAGAGUAUGGUAGAGGUGAGUGGAAUUCCCUGUGUAGCGGUGAAAUGCGUAGAGAUGGGGAGGAACAUCAGUGGCGAAGGCGACUCACUGGACCAAUACUGACACUGAGGUACGAAAGCGUGGGUAGCAAACAGGAUUAGAUACCCUGGUAGUCCACGCCCUAAACGAUGUCAACUGGUUGUUGGGAAUUUACUUUCUCAGUAACGAAGCUAACGCGUGAAGUUGACCGCCUGGGGAGUACGGCCGCAAGGUUUGAAACUCAAAGGAAUUGACGGGGAAAUCGAAUU